GCCUCCUUAGCUCAGUGGUAGAGCAACGCUCUUGUAAAGCGUAGGUCGUCAGUUCAAUCCUGACAGGGGGCUCCA
rnacentral:tRNA from 10 species